rnacentral:rRNA from 1 species
CCUACGGGAGGCUGCAGUGGGGGAUAUUGCACAAUGGGGGAAACCCUGAUGCAGCGACGCCGCGUGGGUGAAGAAGCGCCUCGGCGCGUAAAGCCCUGUCAGCAGGGAAGAAAAUGACGGUACCUGAAGAAGAAGCCCCGGCUAACUACGUGCCAGCAGCCGCGGUAAUACGUAGGGGGCAAGCGUUAUCCGGAUUUACUGGGUGUAAAGGGGGCGCAGACGGCGAGGCAAGCCAGGAGUGAAAGGCCGGGGCCCAACCGCGGGACUGCUGUUGGAACUGUGUGGCUAGAGUGCAGGAGGGGCAGGCGGAAUUCGUGGUGUAGCGGUGAAAUGCGUAGAUAUCAGGAAGAACACCGGUGGCGAAGGCGGCCUGCUGGACUGCAACUGACGUUGAGGCCCGAAAGCGUGGGGAGCAAACAGGAUUAGAUACCCCUGUAGUC